AGCACCUGCCGGUGAAGGUGUCCUUUCUGAGUCCAGGGCCAGAGGACAUCAGAGCCUUUCUCUGAGGACACGGGGCCAUGUAAGGGUUAGUAGUGAUGAGCCAUGCAGGCAGGAAGAGCAAAGAAAACAUCUCAGGUCUGACUGGCAAACCGUCUCUCACAGCUUUGAUAACCACCAGAGGUCAGCAAACCACAUUCCAGGAACAACUACAGUGAUCUAGCAGCAAGCUUAAUGGGGCUCCACAUGCUCCCAGAAAUGAGUAUUCCUCUGCCCUAGAAAGGUGCUGUUUUAAGAGCAUGGAUACCCUGGUAAACCCUGCAGACCACAUGGUCAAGAAACUUCAAAAAUUAUUUGCAAAUAAUUUCUUGAGAUUCAGUGCAAAAGUACCAGACACCAAGAUGGGAGGAGUGGCUGACACACCAGAAGGCUGUGCUGCCAUCCAGCGGGACCUGGACAGGCUGGAGAGUUGGGUGGGGAAUAACCUGAUGAAAUUUAACAAGGAAAAGUGUAGAGUCCUGCAUCUGGGCAGGAACAACCCCAGGUUCCAGUAUAGGCUGGGGAAUGACCUAUUAGAGAGCAGUGUAGGGGAAAGGGAUCUGGGGGUCCUGGUGGACAACAGGAUGACCAUGAGCCAGCAGUGUGUCCUUGUGGCCAGGAAGGCCAAUGGCAUCCUGUGGGGUGGUUAGUAGGUCGAGAGAGGUUCUCCUUCCCCUCUACUCUGCCCUGGUGAGACCACAUCUGGAAUAUUGUGUCCAGUUCUGGGCCCCUCAGUUCCAGAAGGACAGGGAACUGCUAGAGAGGGUCCAGCGUAGGGCAACAAAGAUGAUUAAGGGAGUGGAGCACCUCCCUUAUGAAGAAAGGCUGAUGGAGCUGGGUCUCUUUAGUUUGGAGAAGAGGAGACUGAGGGGUGACUUUAUUAAUGUUUAUAAAUAUAUAAAGGGUGAGUGCCAUGAGGAGGGAGCCAGGCUCUUCUUGGUGGCAAACAAUGAUAGGACAAGGGGUAAUGGGAUCAAGCUGGAACACACGAGGUUCCACUUAAAUUUGAGAAAAAAAUGCUUCUCAGUAAGGGUGACAGACACUGGAACAGGCUGCCCAGGGGGAUUGUGGAGUCUCCUUCUCUGGAGACAUUCAAAACCCGCCUGGACAUGUUCCUGUGCGACCUCACCUAGGCGUUCCUGCUCCAGCAGGGGGAUUGGACUAGAUAAUCUUUUGAGGUCCCUUCCAAUCCCAAACAUACUGUGACACUGUGAUACCAAUUAAUACAUUAUUCCAUACAUAGACUUUGACCAUAUUUGGCAUAUUGUUAAUUCAAUAAUUUAAGUAAAAAACAGUUCUUCAGCCAUUACUCUUCAACCAACAGUGAUGUGUAUCUUGCCCUAGAGGAAUGGAUAACCUGUAGCUGUAGAUACACUAGAUGCUGUAUAAAUUUUAAAUGUUGUUUUUUCCAAGUGUUUGAUGAUCAUGGUUACCGGUCACUGUUAAGCACCACCUUCCUAUACUUGUGAAACACAAGGAAGACUUUUUUGCUCCCUGUUGCUGUAUAGGGCUGUGAAUUCCUGGAAAAAUAAAAACAACUUUAAAGUUGGGGAGACUUUAACAUCCCAGUUCUUGCUGAGACAUUGGUAAUGCUCCCGUGUAAAACCGUAUCUCCCUUGCACCCUGACACCUUUGCACCUUUGCAGCAAAAAUGUCUUAUUUUGGUGAAGCUAUUGAGGGUUUCAUCCUGACCAUCAGUAACACAUAACACAGGGGUAACAAAACUGAUGAGUUUUAUUAGCUAGUUCUGGUAUUUCCUCUUAUAGCUUCCACCUUUAUUUUAGCAAUGUGAGCUUUCUUUUCCCAGUCCAAGGAAAUCUAGUCCAUGUACACAUCAAAAGACUUGACCAAAUACAAAAGUUAUCUGCAACAUAAUUUUGGUGUCUGCACUUCCAAGAGUGAAUGAGACACUGUGGAGGCACGUUCCCAGCUGGUGAAAAUUGCAGUCCCUGCACAGAAGCGGGUGGACCAAUGACAAUAUAAUCCAGUCUGCUCCUUAGUGCAUGAGGGUUUCACUUCCUCCAACACAGGCAUACACACACACACAAUCAGAAAAUACAGUUAAAAAAUCUAAUAAUACUUACUUGAGGCUUUUAAACUCCUGAGGGGUAGAUAGAUACAAGGCAGUAAACCAGCAGCGGGAAAGAAAAACAGUUAAAAAAAAAAAAAGUAAUAAAAAAAUUCUAUAGGAAGGAAAUGACACCCCUUCACACACACAUGCUGCCACCCACCCUCCCACCCCCCUUAAAAGGGCAAAAAAUUAAAAAGGGAGCUAAUUGUCAUGCUUGCUGUGGUGGCUUGCCUGGAAAUGAGCCUAUGAGUUGAAAGCAUAUGGUGCUUAUGUUGGAAUUGUUUUCUAAACAGACUUUUUGCCUGUGUGUCUUUUUCACCUCUUUCAAACAUCUUGUGCCAAAAGCAGUAAAAACACUGCUGCAUUAAACAUAAAUCAGGGCCCUGUGCCUGCAAAGGACCUCUGUUGUUGGAGGGGGGUUAUUGGACUAGGGAUGAAAGGAGACCUACCACCGCAUUGAUCUGAGGUGAUUGUAUGGGGCAUAUUCACCUAGGAUGCUUCUAGCUAGUUAUGACAAUGUGGAACAUUCAGGCAAUUAAUGAGCACAUGCUUCAAGUGGAAAGGCUGAACAGGGCGUUUAACUGGAUGUACAUAUUUCUUCAGCUAAUGUAUUCUAAAAGAAUACACCUUUAUGUGUUUGUUUUGCUAAAGUAUUUCACGUACCUAGAGUAACAAAGGGCCCAUAUUAACAGACAAAAGUAUAUAUUGUCUAUUUGUAGAACUGUGUGAAACCAUUUGUUAUAUAAUUUUACAUAAAAGGAGUUACUCCACAAGUUACCACAAAUUCACUAUGAAUUUAGUAUGGCGACAGCUGCAGUAUGUCAUGCCUGCAAACAAUUUUCAGAAGCCCAAAUUUGAGCAUUUUUCCCCAUGUUGCUAAUUCGCAGAUCAUUUGGUAAGAUUUUAUCCCUUCUCUUUAGACCCUUAAAUCAUGAGAUGGACCUAUUUGUUUCCUACUUGCAACAGGAACUGUCAGUGUAAAUAGGGACUCUGCGGGAAAUUAUGCGAGCAGCUUAUACACUUGCAUAUGUAAUGUAUGACCAAUUAUAUAUAUUAACAGGUAUGUAUAACCUUUACACAGAUAAAGCGAUGAACAAAUGUCUGGGGCUUUUAUGCAGACUGUGGUUGGAACUUAGCUUAAAGUGAAAGUGUUUGCCCUUAUAGUCUCCAGAUAUUUUAAGCAAUUUUUUAGUGAGUAGGGAUAUUAAUUUGGAUAUGAUAACCAAACUUCCCUGCGUAUUCAGCCUGCUAAAUUCCAUCCAUGGUACCAAUGAGGGACAAUGCUUCCUCAUCAAAUCACCCUGUCAAUGGGUGUCUGACCUUCUACAGGGUGUCAUACAGACGGAACGCUGUUUAUAAAGCACUUGAAAACUACUACUUGUGAAGAACCUGAGAAACCCAUCCACAUGUUACUCCCCAGGGAAGAACACUGAGGAAGGUACUGACCCUGCAGUUGGGUUCUCCUUGUCAUUCAGUUCUCUAGAAGACUGCUCAGGGACCUUUGCUGAGAUUUGCUCAGUCAUCU